rnacentral:rRNA from 1 species
CCUACGGGAGGCAGCAGUGGGGAAUAUUGGGCAAUGGGCGCAAGCCUGACCCAGCAAAGCCGCGUGAAGGAAGAAGGCUUUCGGGUUGUAAACUUCUUUUGACAGGGAAGAGAAGAAGACGGUGCCUGUCGAAUAAGCCACGGCUAACGACGGUCCAGCAGCCACGGUAAUACGGAGGGGGCAAGCGUUGUCCGGAUUUACUGGGUGUAAAGGGCGUGUAGCCGGGCUGACAAGUCAGGUGUGAAAUCGUGGGGCUCAACCCCCGAACUGCAUUUGAAACUGGUGGUCUUGAGUAUCGGAGAGGCAGGCGGAAUUCCUAGUGUAGCGGUGAAAUGCGUAGAUAUUAGGAGGAACACCAGUGGCGAAGGCGGCCUGCUGGACGACAACUGACGGUGAGGCGCGAAAGCGUGGGGAGCAAACAGGAUUAGAUACCCCAGUAGUC